UGUCUUGGCCUACCAGAACUCAAAACUCUCAGGCUAGCUUGGCUUUGUAAACAAUAGUCAGCCACAGCUUUUUUGAUUAUCCAGCACCACUCCAAGAAUCAACUGGCUUUGAGGGUAUUUAUUCUUUCUAUGUUUGGUUUGGUUUUUUUUCUUCUAUUUUGACUUCCCUUCUCUUUUUGAUUGCCUUUCUCUGAUUUACUUUCUGGUCAUGUGCAGAAGAAAGAAAUUGAGAAUUGAGGGAAACCUGCUCCAAGAUAUAGGCAUGCAUCAUUGUGUCAUCAUUAAAUGUUCCAGUUAAUAGUUUGCAAGGUUCUGGACUAAAGAGAUACUUAAAGGCAAGCAUAGCGUCUUCACAGCACGAAAAAGGCAGGGAGCAGCUGAACUGGAAUAAAUGCAGGAAUAACAUCUUCUUAAAGCUGUUACUCAAGCUCCUCAGGAGUGAUCGGGGACUUCUCUGCAGGAGUGUUACUGUGGAAUUUGAGCUCAUUUGUUGUGCAUUAGCUGCUACAUCUGAAUAAUCACAUUUUGACUGAAUACCAGGAAAAUACCCUCGAAGUCCUAGAAUAUUCUGUGCCUGGGGAGAAAAAAUUUGCCAUGAAGAGAUGGUGAUUCAGGAUUCACUGUUGCUAAGAAGCCAGGUUUCCUCAGUGCUUGCUAGUGGCUACUGAGAGAAGAGAACUCCAGGACUGCUCCACUGGAAGCUCUUUGCAGCCUUUGCCCAUUGAAAUUACAGAGCUUUGCUUUCCUAAGCCAUCUAAUUAUAGUGAACCGUCACCAUUAUCCUCACUCAGAGACAAUCUGUCUCAUUCAUAAUAUCACAUCUUCCUAUAUCACACUGCUCUCUUGACCGUGGUGAUAAAUGCUCAGAGUCCAGAUUUACUAUCAGUAACUCUUGGGAACAUAUUUAAGUUAUACUGACACACUGCCUCAGUUUUGCUGGAGUGCUGCAUUCAAAAAGCUUCCCAAAAUAGGUGUGGAUGUUUUCAACAAAGACCAAGA